UAGAUUGAAGCCCGCUGGAUUGGGCUUUUAGUUGUUAACUAAAGGUUUAUGGGAUCGAGGCCCGUCGAUCUAG
rnacentral:tRNA from 1 species